rnacentral:rRNA from 1 species
ACGCUCGACACCUACGGUAGGCAGCAGUGGGGAAUAUUGCACAAUGGAGGAAACUCUGAUGCAGCGAUGCCGCGUGAGGGAAGAAGGUUUUCGGAUUGUAAACCUCUGUCUUUGGGGACGAUAAUGACGGUACCCAAGGAGGAAGCUCCGGCUAACUACGUGCCAGCAGCCGCGGUAAUCUGAGCGGGCUGGCAAGGC